GACAGAGGUGCCAAGCGUUAGGCGGAAUCACUGGGCUUAAAGCGUGUGUAGGCGGAUCGUUAAGUACCUUGUGAAAUCCCACGGCUCAACCGUGGAACUGCUUGGUAUACUGCCAGUCUUGAGGCACUCAGGGGCGAGCGGAACAAGUGGUGGAGCGGUGAAAUGCGUAGAUAUCACUUGGAACGCCAAUGGUGAAGACAGCUCGCUGGGGGUGUACUGACACUGAGACACGAAAGCCAGGGGAGCGAACGGG
rnacentral:rRNA from 1 species